rnacentral:lncRNA from 1 species
GAUGAGGGAGAUGACGACGAGUGAAGACCCAUGGAAGGGCCUCCCCUUUUUGGCGCUUGAUGCCAAAGGGGGAGUGAAGCUCACCAUGAAUGCUUGGGGAUGGAUCAUCAUCUUAGCUAUCUUUAGUUUCUCUUAUGGCUUGUGGACAUAUAUGCAAACUAUGUGUAGUGUUAUGUUUGGUGUGCGAAGUGUGAACUUUCAAAUUUAUAAGAUUCAUUUGCUAUACUAGUGUGUCUUAGGACUUCUUAUUCACUUGUGUUGAGAUGAUUAUGACAUGUAUGGUGUAUUGCUCUAUUUUCUCUUUUUGAAAUGUUCCAUCUUGUCA